rnacentral:sRNA from 1 species
CUAAUGGUCUGUAAAUUAUGAAUCCACAGUACAAGAACAGUAUGGGCCGUGGAAGGCUAGCUUCUCUCAUGCUGCCCCACCAAUGUGUCUCAGCCUUGAUAUGUAGGGGGCACUUUUAGGGCAUUUGCAUUGCCCCUUCAGCCUUUGGCCUCU